UACGGAGGGUGCGAGCGUUGUCCGGAAUCACUGGGCGUAAAGGGCGCGUAGGCGGUCUGCUAAGCGUGCGGUGAAAGCCUGGGGCUCAACCCCAGGUCUGCCGUGCGAACUGGUGGACUAGAGCACUGUAGAGGCAGGUGGAAUUCCGGGUGUAGCGGUGGAAUGCGUAGAGAUCCGGAAGAACACCGGUGGCGAAGGCGGCCUGCUGGGCAGUAGCUGACGCUGAGGCGCGACAGCGUGGGGAGCAAACAGG
rnacentral:rRNA from 1 species